GAUGAACGCUGGCGGCGUGCCUAAUACAUGCAAGUCGAGCGAACGGACGAGAAGCUUGCUUCUCUGAUGUUAGCGGCGGACGGGUGAGUAACACGUGGAUAACCUACCUAUAAGACUGGGAUAACUUCGGGAAACCGGAGCUAAUACCGGAUAAUAUUUUGAACCGCAUGGUUCAAAAGUAAAAGACGGUCUUGCUGUCACUUAUAGAUGGAUCCGCGCUGCAUUAGCUGGUUGGUAAGGUAACGGCUUACCAAGGCAACGAUGCAUAGCCGACCUGAGAGGGUGAUCGGCCACACUGGAACUGAGACACGGUCCAGACUCCUACGGGAGGCAGCAGUAGGGAAUCUUCCGCAAUGGGCGAAAGCCUGACGGAGCAACGCCGCGUGAGUGAUGAAGGUCUUCGGAUCGUAAAACUCUGUUAUUAGGGAAGAACAUAUGUGUAAGUAACUGUGCACAUCUUGACGGUACCUAAUCAGAAAGCCACGGCUAACUACGUGCCAGCAGCCGCGGUAAUACGUAGGUGGCAAGCGUUAUCCGGAANUUAUGGGCGUAAAGCGCGCGUAGCGGUUUUUUAAGUCUGAUGUGAAAGCCCACGGCUCAACCGUGGAGGGUCAUUGGAAACUGGAAAACUUGAGUGCAGAAGAGGAAAGUGGAAUUCCAUGUGUAGCGGUGAAAUGCGCAGAGAUAUGGAGGAACACCAGUGGCGAAGGCGACUUUCUGGUCUGUAACUGACGCUGAUGUGCGAAAGCGUGGGGAUCAAACAGGAUUAGAUACCCUGGUAGUCCACGCCGUAAACGAUGAGUGCUAAGUGUUAGGGGGUUUCCGCCCCUUAGUGCUGCAGCUAACGCAUUAAGCACUCCGCCUGGGGAGUACGACCGCAAGGUUGAAACUCAAAGGAAUUGACGGGGACCCGCACAAGCGGUGGAGCAUGUGGUUUAAUUCGAAGCAACGCGAAGAACCUUACCAAAUCUUGACAUCCUUUGACAACUCUAGAGAUAGAGCCUUCCCCUUCGGGGGACAAAGUGACAGGUGGUGCAUGGUUGUCGUCAGCUCGUGUCGUGAGAUGUUGGGUUAAGUCCCGCAACGAGCGCAACCCUUAAGCUUAGUUGCCAUCAUUAAGUUGGGCACUCUAAGUUGACUGCCGGUGACAAACCGGAGGAAGGUGGGGAUGACGUCAAAUCAUCAUGCCCCUUAUGAUUUGGGCUACACACGUGCUACAAUGGACAAUACAAAGGGCAGCGAAACCGCGAGGUCAAGCAAAUCCCAUAAAGUUGUUCUCAGUUCGGAUUGUAGUCUGCAACUCGACUACAUGAAGCUGGAAUCGCUAGUAAUCGUAGAUCAGCAUGCUACGGUGAAUACGUUCCCGGGUCU
rnacentral:rRNA from 1 species